GCUGAUAUGAUGAUACUUUUUAUCUUUAGUCGGAUUUCCCUUCACUCCAACUAUGAGUGAUAAUCGCAUUCUGACAAGC
rnacentral:snoRNA from 1 species